GACGAACGCUGGCGGCGUGCCUAAUACAUGCAAGUAGAACGCAGAAGGAGGAGCUUGCUUCCUUGGAUGAGUUGCGAACGGGUGAGUAACACGUAGGUAACAUGCCUGGUAGCGGGGGAUAACUAUUGGAAACGAUAGAUAAUACCGCAUAAGAGUAGAUGUUGCAUGACAUUUGCUUAAAAAGUACAAUUUCAUCACUACCAGAUGGACCUGCCUUGUAUUAGUUAGUUGGUGGGGUAACGGCUCACUAACGCGACAAUACAUAGCCGCCCUCAGGGGGUGAUCGGCCACACUUGGACUGAGACACGGCCCAGACUCCUACGGGAGGCAGCAGGAGGGAAUCUUCGGGAAAGGACGGAAGUCUGACCGAGCAACGCCGGGUGAGUGAAGAAGGUUUUCGGAUCGUAAAACUCUGUUGUAAGAGAAGAACGAGUGUGGGAGUGGAAAGUUCACACUUUGACGGUAUCUAACCAGAAAGGGACGGCUAACUACGUG
rnacentral:rRNA from 1 species